rnacentral:misc_RNA from 1 species
GUACAGAGAAAAAAGGAUGAAUUCGAUGAAGGAAGGAAUUCUACUUCUUAUGAGUGGUUUUGUUAUAUUUAUCUUUAAUCCAUUGGAAGCCAAGAGAGGUUCCUUCUUUAACCUUUUUGACGCCAUUAGAGGCGACAGCUUUGGUCUUCCCAAGCCCUUCGCCGACUUUCUGCUUGUAUUUGGCCGUACUGUUUCCGCCGCCGGUCUUCUUCUUGUUCUCUGUGGCUAUGUCCGUGGAGUCGUUGUAGUCCCACUGGUCCGCCCAAUCGUAAGAGCCGUUUCCAGCCAUGGAUUUGAUUGAUUUG